rnacentral:lncRNA from 1 species
CAUAAGGGUAAUCCUCGAUAAGUAGGCGAAGGCCAUGCCUAGAUGUUGGAUCCUGAUAGAGACUCGAACACAAAAGGGGAAAUGGGCUUAGGAAAGCCCAAGGUGUGGAAAGUUUAUGAAAGAAAGAAAGGGAAAGGUGCUGAGGUGUCUCAGGCAAAAUGGAGAGGAGGGAGUUAGUUAGUAAGUUAGUAUAUAGAGUAGUGAGGUGUGGGGUGAGAGGUAGGGAUGAGAAUCAAAUUCGGUUAUAGGAGAGAGAAAGAGGAAUCUUUCUAGGAAGAGAGCCAUUAGAGCUUCUCUGGGUUGUUAGAGCUUUCUCUAACAAUACACCAUCUAUCUUUUUCUAUUCCUGUAUUACUCCUUACCUUCAUCAAUAUAAUUCUCAUUUCAGUAUUAAUCUUCUCUGUUCUUCACUUGCACAAUUUACAUACCCAUCAAUUGGUCCGACCUGCCGGAUCAAAUACACCCCCAGAAAACCAGUGUAGUAGAUGCCACCCAAGAUGGUUGAUCGUAUGGAAGCUCUGGAGACACAGAUGGGCACCGUGACUGACACGUUGCAGGAACUCGCGCUCCAGCUGCAGCAGCAGAGCAUGUUUCUGAAGGAGUUGAGCAAUCAGAUGGGAAAGAAAGUGGUCCACGAAGGGGAAACCUCGACGGGUGACUCCAGUUCCGGCGAAUCGCGUCUCGCCGGGAAGAAGGUCAAGCUGCCCGUGUUUGAGGGAGACGAUCCGGUAGCUUGGAUCACGAGAGCGGAGAUCUAUUUCGAUGUGCAAGGCACCCCCGAUGAGCUUCGCGUGAAGCUCGCAUGCUUGAGUAUGGAAGGAUCUACCAUCCAUUGGUUCAAUCUGUUGAGGGAAACAGAGGAUGAGCUUUCCUGGGAAAAGCUCAAACGAGCGUUGAUUGCACGCUAUGGAGGACGACGAUUGGAGAAUCCCUUCGAGGAGUUAUCGACGCUAAGGCAACGCGGCAGCGUGGAGGAGUUCGUGGAAGCCUUCGAGUUGCUAUCCUCACAGGUAGGACGAUUGCCGGAGGAUCAGUAUCUGGGGUAUUUCAUGAGUGGGUUGAAACCACCGAUUCGACGGCGGGUGCGUACCUUGAAUCCCAGCACUCGCAUGGAGAUGAUGCGAAUUGCGAAAGAUGUUGAAGACGAGCUUAAGGAAGAAGACGACGAAGAGGGAAAGCGGGUGAUAAGAAAAGGCGGGUACGAACGCUCGGGUCAAGGCGAUUGGGCCGGGUCAGCCUCAAAUAGGAGUGGGCUGUUCAAUAGAGAUGUAACCCGUUUUACCAAGGCCAGCGGGUCAAACCAAACCCGAUCCCGGAGUUCUGUUGGAUCCCACGCACACUCAUCUUCAUCGCUGGGCUCAACGGCGAGAAAGGGUGACAACGACCACCGUGCAGGCUCGACGGAGCGUUGGAAAGGGGUCAGGAGUUUCCAGGUUGACGAAAUCGCAGAGCGAAGGGCCAAGGGACUCUGUUUUAAAUGUGGGGGCAAAUACCACCCCACUUUGCACAAGUGCCCGGAGCGCGCGAUGAGAGUUCUCAUCCUGGGAGAGGGAGAGACCAUGAAUGAGGAGGGGGAAAUCGUGAUGCUGGAACAGGAAGUAGAGGAGGUCGAAGAAGAAGAAGCUGUAGAAUGCAAAGCUAUGGGAGUUCUGGGUUGUUUGGGGGAUCACCAGACAAUGAAGUUAGCUGGCCAAGUGGGCAAUGUGGAACUUCUCAUCCUUGUUGACAGUGGCGCGAGCCACAACUUCAUUGACCCAAAGAUCACCUCUGCUCUGGGACUUACCAUCACCCCGAUCACCACAAGGAGCAUUAAACUUGGAGAUGGCCAUAAGGUGAUAACCAGGGGAGUUUGUAAGGGAAUCAAAGCCAAAGUGGGGAACAUUGAGAUUACCAUUGAUGCACUGGUGCUGGACUUAGGAGGGCUGGAUCUGGUCUUGGGAGUGUCCUGGCUCAGUACACUUGGGAAAGUCAUCAUGGAUUGGAAGCACUUGACUAUGCAGUUUGUGCAAGGGGAACAUGUGGUGAAAUUGCAGGGAAUGAAGGGUAGAAGCAGCUAUCAGAGCAACCUGCACUUUUUUUUGAGUGACACUCAAGGCAGAAACCUUGGAGAAGGAUGGUGGCCUCAAUUCCAAGCUACAGAAGCAACCAAGGAACACCAUGACAUACCUCAGGAACUGAGAGUUGUGCUUACAGAAUUCCCAGCAGUAUUCACAAAGAAAAUGCAAUUGCCCCCUGUCAGGUCCAAAGUACACCAGAUUGUUCUUAAUCCUGAGCAUGGGCCAAUUAAUGUCAGACCCUAUAGGUAUCCUCAUCACCAAAAGGAGGAAAUUGAGAGGCAGGUGGCUGAGCUCUUGGAGGCAGGGAUCAUAAGACCUAGCAUGAGUGCCUUCUCCAGUCCUGUCAUCUUGGUAAAAAAGAAGGAUAAGAGUUGGAGAAUGUGUGUGGACUACAGGGCUCUGAACAAGGCUACAAUCCCAGAUAAGUAUCCAAUUCCAAUUGUGGAUGAAUUACUUGAUGAGUUGAAUGGGGCAGUAAUGUUCUCUAAAAUUGAUCUUAAAUCGGGAUACCACCAGAUUAGAGUUCUUGAGGCAGAUAUCCCUAAAACUGCUUUCAGGACUCACAAUGGACAUUAUGAGUACCUUGUCAUGCCCUUUGGGCUGAUGAAUGCUCCUGCCACUUUUCAAGCCAUCAUGAAUGACAUUUUUAGGCCAUAUCUGAGGAAGUUUGUGUUGGUUUUCUUUGAUGAUAUCUUAAUUUACAGUAGGAGUUUGUUGGAACACCAAAACCACUUAAAGCUAGUCUUGACAGUGUUAUCAUCUAAUUGUUUUGUAGCCAAUCAAGCAAAAUGCAAGUUUGGUUGUGCCCAAAUAGAUUAUUUGGGUCACAUUAUAUCUGGGAAAGGAGUGGCAGUUGACCCCGAUAAAAUUAAGUGCAUUGUGGAGUGGCCAGAGCCCAAGAAUGUUAAGGGAGUAAGGGGAUUUUUAGGGUUAACAGGCUACUACAGGAAAUUUGUCAAGAAUUAUGGGAAGAUGGCCAAACCCCUCACAGAACUGACAAAAAAAGACAAUUUCACAUGGGGUGAAGAGACCAAGCAAGCUUUCCACAAGUUGAAGACCGUAAUGAUAAGUUCCCCUGUGCUAGCUCUCCCUGAUUUUGAAAAACCUUUUGAGGUUGAAUGUGAUGCAGCUGGGAGAGGCAUUGGUGCCGUUUUGAUGCAACAAAGGCAACCAAUUGCUUAUUAUAGCAAGGCUCUAUCUCCUGGGAAUUUAUCCAAGUCAGUUUAUGAGAAAGAAUUGAUGGCAUUGGUUCUUUGCAUCCAACAUUGGAGGCACUACUUGUUGGGCAAGGCUUUCAUUGUCUACACAGAUCACAAGAGCCUCAAACAUUUCUUGCAACAAAAAAUUACUUCCCCUGAUCAACAAUGCUGGUUGGCAAAGCUCCUUGGAUAUCAGUUUGAAGUGAGGUACAAACCAGGUCAGGAAAAUAAGGCAGCAGAUGCACUUUCUAGAUGCUAUGAUGAGAGUGAUCUCAUGAGCCUGGUAUCUUUUCCUCUGUGGGAAGAUAGAAAGAAGCUCUUGGAGGAGAUAGCCUCUGAUGCUUACAUCCAGAACUUGACACAGGAAGUGCAACAAAAUCCCCAAGCCAAACCUGGGUUCUCAGUCCAGCAAGGGGUGCUGUUAUACCAAGGCAGGCUUGUGCUCUCUCCUACAUCACCUUCAAUUCCAUGGCUUCUGCAGGAAUACCACAGCACACCUACUGGGGGUCAUUCAGGGUUUCUACGAACCUACAGAAGGCUGGCUGAAACUCUAUAUUGGGUGGGAAUGCAGAGAACAGUGAGUGAUUUUGUAAGGGGUUGUGACACUUGUCAGAGGCAGAAGUAUAGUGCAAUUUCUCCAGGGGGUCUGCUCCAACCACUUCCUGUUCCAAAUGCUAUCUGGGAGGAUAUAUCCCUUGACUUUAUCACAGGGUUACCUAAAUCUAAAGGCUUUGAGGCAAUCUUGGUUGUAGUGGAUAGGCUAUCCAAGUACAGUCAUUUCAUCUUGCUUAAACACCCCUACACUGCUAAGUCCAUUGCUGAGGUCUUUGUCAGGGAAAUAGUAAGGCUCCAUGGGAUUCCAAACACUGUUAUCAGUGAUAGAGACCCAAUUUUUGUGAGUCACUUCUGGUCUGAGCUAUUCAAAUUACAGGGUACCAAGUUGAAAAUGAGCUCCUCCUACCACCCUGAGACUGAUGGCCAGACAGAGGUCAUAAACAGGUGCUUAGAGAGUUAUUUGAGAUGCUUUGCCUCUGAGCAUCCGAGGACUUGGUCUUAUUGGGUUCCUUGGGCUGAGUUUUGGUAUAAUUCUACCUUUCAUUGCUCCAUUGGCCAAACUCCUUUUGAGGUGGUUUAUGGCAGAAAAGCACCUCCCAUCAUCAGGUUUCUAGCUAAUGAGACCAAGGUAGCAGCUGUUGCUCUAGAAUUAAGUGAGAGAGAUGAGGCUUUGAAGCAACUGAGGGCACAUUUACAGCGAGCACAGGAGCAGAUGGUCAGUUAUGCUAAUAAGAAGAGAAGGGAUUUGAGCUUUGACAUAGGAGAAUGGGUCUUCCUCAAGCUCAGGCCCCACAGGCAGCAUUCUGUUGUCAAGAGAAUUAAUCAAAAACUAGCAGCAAGGUUCUAUGGCCCUUUUCAAAUUGAAGACAAAAUUGGAGCUGUUGCUUACAAGCUCAAACUGCCAGCAGAAUCAAGAAUCCACCCUGUCUUCCAUGUGUCUCUUUUAAAAAAGGCUAUAGGCAAUUACCAAGUCCAAGGGGAGCUGCCUACUGAUUUAGAUAUUGGGGAAACUCCUGACUUUUAUCCUGAGGAGAUUCUGGGCACCAGAAGUAUCAGGCAAGGUGACAGAGAGGUUCACCAAAGUUUGAUUAAGUGGACCAACAGAUCAGUGGAUGAUGUCACUUGGGAGGAUAAUGAGGUCUUAGUUGGUCAAUUUCCAGACUUCUGCCUUGAGGACAAGGCUGUUUCUAAGGGGGAGGGAAUUGAUAGAGACUCGAACACAAAAGGGGAAAUGGGCUUAGGAAAGCCCAAGGUGUGGAAAGUUUAUGAAAGAAAGAAAGGGAAAGGUGCUGAGGUGUCUCAGGCAAAAUGGAGAGGAGGGAGUUAGUUAGUAAGUUAGUAUAUAGAGUAGUGAGGUGUGGGGUGAGAGGUAGGGAUGAGAAUCAAAUUCGGUUAUAGGAGAGAGAAAGAGGAAUCUUUCUAGGAAGAGAGCCAUUAGAGCUUCUCUGGGUUGUUAGAGCUUUCUCUAACAAUACACCAUCUAUCUUUUUCUAUUCCUGUAUUACUCCUUACCUUCAUCAAUAUAAUUCUCAUUUCAGUAUUAAUCUUCUCUGUUCUUCACUUGCACAAUUUACAUACCCA